AGGCGAGAGCGGUCCAUGAGGCGUCUAUUCUUAUAUUAUGUCUAUGGUUAGGGUAACAUGUAAACAAAUGGAAGUACCAGCGAAAGUCGCGCCCAUAAUUCACGCAAAGCAUCAUGGGGCAUAGGAAUAAGGUGGAUACCUACCUGUAGUUACCUUUAGCUUCCUGUAGCUACCCGUGGCUUCCUGUGCCUACCGUUAGCUUGCUGUAGCUAUCUUCAGCUUCCUGUAGCUACCUGUAGUUAAAUGUUACUUCCUGUAGUUAUCUGUAGAUUCCUGUAGUUAUCUUUAGCUUCCUGUAGUUAUCUGUAGUUACCUUUACCUUACUGAUGGUUGCUACACGUAGUUACCUGUAUCUGCUUGUAGUUACUUGUAUCUUGCUAUCGUUACUUGUAUCUACCUGUAGUUACCUUUAGCUUCUUGCAGCUUCGUGUAGUUACGAGGUCCCUGUAUCUUCCUGUAGUUACUUGUAGUUACCUGUAGGUACCUGUAUCUUUUUGCUGUUACCUGCUUCUACCUGUAUUUACUUGUAGUUACCGUUAUCUACCAGUAGUUACCUGUAUCUUCCUGUCGCUAGUUGUAGUUAUGUGUAGUUACUUAUAGUUACCUGUAUUUUUUGUAGUUACCUGUAGUUUACUGUAUCUCCCUGUAAUUUUAUUUCCCUGUAGUUACCUGUUUCUACCUGCAGUUACACAUAGUUACUUUUAGUUAUCAGUAUCUCACAGUAGUUACUUGUAUCUUCCUGUAGUUACCUGUAGUUACCUGUAGUUACCUGUAGUUACCUGUAGUUACCUGUAGUAACCCGUCUCUCAAGUCCCCACCGUUGAUCUGUAAAAAUCAGUCUGUUUUUCCUCUCUUUGACCUUUGACCCUGGAACAUUCCUGCAGCUGAGGGGAACGCCGACCUAAAAAUACCCAGAGCUCUCCAUGAUCCAGAGCCGCUCCACCUCUGCCCGCGCUGCCGUCAGCUGUUCGUUCCCAUGGCAACAGCUACUCCCAGCCGGACAGAACGUUGUAUUUUUGCCCACUGAACCCAGACAGAACCGCUUUCGGGUCGGCCCGGAUUCAGCUGACUUCAUGCAGAAAUAACCUGAUUAUGAGCUCCGUUCCAGCAUACUGGCCCUCGGAUUCCUGAUCCUGUAAGCAGCAGAAACUGACGGAUCAUUAAUCAGAUUCCUGCUCUAAGCCGAGCUCCACCUGCAGAGCCAAAGUUCAGCGCUUUGUUCAGGUUCUGCUGCCCGUCAAUAUUUACUUAGAACUGAAUCAUGGAGCGUUUCAGAGCCGUCAGCUGGUUCUUAUGGUAAACUCAGAGAAUCUGGAGCAGCACUCACCUUCUUCCCAUAAGAAGCUCCCAUUAUUCCCAGUAGGAGCGACGCCCCUCUGAUCUUUCCUGUUCUGCAGCCUGACAGACGGAGCUCUGGGUUCGGUUAGCCCACCAGCGAGUCAGGCGGACUACUGAACUUCAUCCCAACCGGCAGCAGAGCAGAGAUCAGCUGGACUGAGCAAGGAGAGAGUGAGGAGGAAGAGGAGGAGCAGCAGCCACCUGUUCCUGUCUGACUCUCAGCUGUGAGGAGUUAAAGUGGGAUUACGGUAAUCCCAGCAGACAGGAAGCCAGAGAGCAGAAGGUUCCUCACAUCUCCUCCAACCAGGAUGGAGACGGGAUUCUUCAUCCCAGCAGGUCCGAGUUUCCCUCCAUCCACGGCUCUGGGAUGUACUGGAGGAACUGGGAGGCGAACUGGUUUCAUCAAAUGAACAAGACGGGACGAUUUGAUGAAACCAGUUCCUCUGCCUGGAGGACCAGAGAGGAGACAUGGAACUACACUGCAAAAACUAAAUCUAGUUUCAACUUCAAAAAUCUUAGUUCCCUUUAAAUCAGACAAAACUAAGUUACAAUAAAGUAAGUUUCACUUGG